AUGGGGUCAAGGCCCCGCCCGCCUUGGAGCCCCAGGGGCUGCGUUGGCUUCUGUUGGAAAAUGUGCAUUCUCCUCUGACAUUCCGAUGGUUUUGAUUUUUGUUUUGUGUUUUUAGUUUCUUUAUCAUUUGCAGUCAGAAUUUCUAAGCCUCCCCUCCUUCUCUCCCUCACAGCCCACGGCACUGGCACUUCCGAGCUCCUUCUCUCUUCUUUUCAUCUUUCUGCAGCGCCAGGCCCCGGGGGCUCUGGCCUAGGGAUGCAUGCAGAGGCACUGGUGCAGGGGAGCGGGAGGUGGUAGUGGCACAACGUUCCCGCGAUUUUAACUUUUGAAAUUGAGUUUCCUCUCCAGUAAAACGGUGACGAUUUCUGUCGGCUUCUGAAUUUGGAAUCAGAAUCUGACGGGUGGGACCAGUGGCUCAUAACGGGGGACCUGGCGGCUGACGUCCAAUCCUCCUCUACCCACAGGGAGGAGCCUGGGGCCCGGGGCCCGGGUGGUGACCCUGGAGCCUUGUCCCCUCCUUGCGGUGCUGCUGUGAGAACAGAUGAGGAAACGACUUGGAAUGAAUGUUUUGGUGCCUCCACCGUGAAGCCCUCACCCGCUGAAGGCAGAGCCGGGACCCUGUCUGCUCCGCCGCCCAGUCCGUGCCCCUGCGAUGGGGGUCAGGUGGCAGCAGAGAGAGAAGCAACCCGAACGCCCGGGAACUGUCUCCGAGGGGACGUGCG